rnacentral:rRNA from 1 species
AGCAGCAGCCACGAUAAUACGAAGGGUGCAAGCGUUAAUCGGAAUUACUGGGCGUAAAGGGCUCGCAGGCGGUUUCUUAAGUCUGAUGUGAAAGCCCCCGGCUCGACCGGGGAGGGUCAUUGGAAACUGGGAAACUUGAGUGCAGAAGAGGAGAGUGGAAUUCCACGUGUAGCGGUGAAAUGCGUAGAGAUGUGGAGGAACACCAGUGGCGAAGGCGACUCUCUGGUCUGUAACUGACGCUGAGGAGCGAAAGCGUGGGGAGCGAACAGGAUUAGAUACCCCCGUAGUCCCUGUCUCUUAUAA